CCCAAGCCAGGAGACCCACAGGAGGAGGAAAGCUCUGCUGGCCUGCUCAAGGAUAAAGCACGACGGCAUUUACCUCGUUUAUUUUGAUACCAAAUUUCCAGCUACUGAAGGUAAUUGAGACUGCAAACAAAAUCUCACUAUCCACUGAUCUGCCAAAUCAAAUUUUUCCUCCUGUUUGUGAAAAUAAGCACUGGUGAAUGAAGAUGAAAGAGAAAUGUUGCUGGUUUCUUCCCUGGAGAUCGUAUUUCUUACUUGUUGCAUAACUGCUUAUUUUAGCAUCAAUCAGCCAAGCCUUUGUUGUGCAGACAAUUCUGUCCUUUUAAAGGAUUUGUGCAGUAUUGUUUCUUCCAAAAUGCUUUUUUUUUUGUUUUUAUUAUUAGAUUUAUUUCCUCUCUUAGCAAAUGCCAACUGACAACACCCUGCAACACCCUGUCAGAGCUCUUCAUAAGUGUUACAUGAAUGUCAUACUAUGUAAACUGAGUGUUGUAUAUAACAUAUACAUGACCUUUCUGAAGAACCAUCCAUCAAGUACUGUCUCUGUGUGUGUCACGUUUAUGCAUUUGUACACAAGCUGUGUUUAAGUGUGCAUAUAUGGUAGCCAAAAAUCUCUUAAGGGGAGUACUCAAAAAGCUGAAAUGUCCAA